ACCCCACAUAAAUCAGUUUCCACUCCAAAUCAUCUUUAAGAGGAGUCAAGCACUCAUAAGAGAUCUCGAAUUGAAAGGGGGACAAAAACGGCGCUGGAUUAUCCAGUACAGUAACGUUGGUGAUAUUGACAGCACUCAUUCUGAAGAAAAAUCAAAUUGAAACCCUAGAUUGGAGAAGUUUCAUCUAAAGGAGAAACAGAAUCCAGGAAAAAAA
rnacentral:misc_RNA from 1 species